UACAGAGGGUGCAAGCGUUAAUCGGAAUUACUGGGCGUAAAGCGUGCGUAGUCGGUUAUCUAAGUCAGGUGUGAAAUCCCCGGGCUCAACCUGGGAAUUGCAUUUGAUACUGGAUAGCUAGAGUUCGGCAGAGGGAAGUGGAAUUUCUGGUGUAGCGGUGAAAUGCGUAGAUAUCAGGAGGAACACCGGUGGCGAAGGCGGCUUUCUGGACAGUAACUGACGCUGAGGCGCGAAAGCUAGGGGAGCAAACAGGAUUAGAAACCCC
rnacentral:rRNA from 1 species